GGGGGCGAAACGGAUUCGACUUUGUGGAGUGGGCGUGAGCGGCAUGCCGAGGUGGUUCGGAGGCCUCGUUAAACACCGGACAACCAAACACAAAAGCCAACGAAGAGCUGGCUCUCGCGGCCUAAGUUCCGCGACGUUCCGCCCGUGACACCUGCUAGCGGGACGGAACGAGGCAGCAGGUUAGUUCGUGGAUGUUGUCUUCAGGUCCACGGGCGAAACAUCUACUGGAGACUGGCGCGCGUCAUGGCCUGUCUGCCGGCAGUGACGUGGGCGAGACCCAAAGGCGGGCUAAGCAUGUAGUCGUUCACGUUGACUUCGCAGAGGACGUGGGUUCAACUCCCACCGCCUCCACCA
rnacentral:tmRNA from 1 species